AGAGUUUGAUCCUGGCUCAGAACGAACGCUGGCGGCGUGCCUAACACAUGCAAGUCGAACGAGAAAGGAAUCUUCGGAUUCUGAGUAGAGUGGCGCACGGGUGAGUAACACGUGGAUAACCUACCCUAUGAUCAGGGAUAACCGACCGAAAGGACGGCUAAUACCGGAUAAGCCCACAGAGACUUCGGUCUCAGUGGGAAAAGAUUUAUCGUCAUAGGAUGGGUCCGCGGCCCAUUAGCUAGUUGGUAGGGUAAUGGCCUACCAAGGCUACGAUGGGUAGCUGGUCUGAGAGGAUGAUCAGCCACACUGGAACUGAGACACGGUCCAGACUCCUACGGGAGGCAGCAGUGGGGAAUUUUGCGCAAUGGACGAAAGUCUGACGCAGCAACGCCGCGUGAAGGAUGAAGGCCCUUGGGUCGUAAACUUCUGUCAGUGGGGAAGAAAUGCCCGUAAGGGAGCUGACGGUACCCACAAAGGAAGCACCGGCUAACUCCGUGCCAGCAGCCGCGGUAAUACGGAGGGUGCAAGCGUUGUUCGGAAUUAUUGGGCGUAACGAGCAUGUAGGCGGUCUGUUAAGUCUGGUGUGAAAGCCCGGGGCUCAACCCCGGAAGUGCAUUGGAUACUGGCAGACUUGAGUAUGGGAGAGGAAAGCGGAAUUCCGAGUGUAGGAGUGAAAUCCGUAGAUAUUCGGAGGAACACCAGUGGCGAAGGCGGCUUUCUGGACCAAUACUGACGCUGAGAUGCGAAAGCGUGGGGAGCGAACAGGAUUAGAUACCCUGGGUAGUCCACGCCGUAAACGAUGGGUACUAGGUGUUGCGGGUAACCACUCCUGCAGUGCCGCAGCUAACGCAUUAAGUACCCCCGCCUGGGGGAGUACGG
rnacentral:rRNA from 1 species